GAUGAACGCUGGCGGCGUGCCUAAUACAUGCAAGUCGAGCGAACGGACGAGAAGCUUGCUUCUCUGAUGUUAGCGGCGGACGGGUGAGUAACACGUGGAUAACCUACCUAUAAGAUUGGGAUAACUUCGGGAAACCGGAGCUAAUACCGGAUAAUAUUUUGAACCGCAUGGUUCAAAAGUGAAAGACGGUCUUGCUGUCACUUAUAGAUGGAUCCGCGCUGCAUUAGCUAGUUGGUAAGGUAACGGCUUACCAAGGCAACGAUGCAUAGCCGACCUGAGAGGGUGAUCGGCCACACUGGAACUGAGACACGGUCCAGACUCCUAUGGGAGGCAGCAGUAGGGAAUCUUCCGCAAUGGGCGAAAGCCUGACGGAGCAACGCCGCGGGAGUGAUGAAGGUCUUCGGAUCGUAAAACUCUGUUAUUAGGGAAGAACAUAUGUGUAAGUAACUGUGCACAUCUUGACGGUACCUAAUCAGAAAGCCACGGCUAACUACGU
rnacentral:rRNA from 1 species